rnacentral:rRNA from 1 species
GAUGAACGCUGGCGGCGUGCCUAAUACAUGCAAGUCGAGCGAACGGACGAGAAGCUUGCUUCUCUGAUGUUAGCGGCGGACGGGUGAGUAACACGUGGAUAACCUACCUAUAAGACUGGGAUAACUUCGGGAAACCGGAGCUAAUACCGGAUGAUAUUUUGAACCGCAUGGUUCAAAAGUGAAAGACGGUCUUGCUGUCACUUAUAGAUGGAUCCGCGCUGCAUUAGCUAGUUGGUAAGGUAACGGCUUACCAAGGCAACGAUGCAUAGCCGACCUGAGAGGGUGAUCGGCCACACUGGAACUGAGACACGGUCCAGACUCCUACGGGAGGCAGCAGUAGGGAAUCUUCCGCAAUGGGCGAAAGCCUGACGGAGCAACGCCGCGUGAGUGAUGAAGGUCUUCGGAUCGUAAAACUCUGUUAUUAGGGAAGAACAUAUGUGUAAGUAACUGUGCACAUCUUGACGGUACCUAAUCAGAAAGCCACGGCUAACUACGUGCCAGCAGCCGCGGUAAUACGUAGGUGGCAAGCGUUAUCCGGAAUUAUUGGGCGUAAAGCGCGCGUAGGCGGUUUUUUAAGUCUGAUGUGAAAGCCCACGGCUCAACCGUGGAGGGUCAUUGGAAACUGGAAAACUUGAGUGCAGAAGAGGAAAGUGGAAUUCCAUGUGUAGCGGUGAAAUGCGCAGAGAUAUGGAGGAACACCAGUGGCGAAGGCGACUUUCUGGUCUGUAACUGACGCUGAUGUGCGAAAGCGUGGGGAUCAAACAGGAUUAGAUACCCCGGUAGUCCACGCCGUAAACGAUGAGUGCUAAGUGUUAGGGGGUUUCCGCCCCUUAGUGCUGCAGCUAACGCAUUAAGCACUCCGCCUGGGGAGUACGACCGCAAGGUUGAAACUCAAAGGAAUUGACGGGGACCCGCACAAGCGGUGGAGCAUGUGGUUUAAUUCGAAGCAACGCGAAGAACCUUACCAAAUCUUGACAUCCUUUGACAACUCUAGAGAUAGAGCCUUCCCCUUCGGGGGACAAAGUGACAGGUGGCGCAUGGUUGUCGUCAGCUCGUGUCGUGAGAUGUUGGGUUAAGUCCCGCAACGAGCGCAACCCUUAAGCUUAGUUGCCAUCAUUAAGUUGGGCACUCUAAGUUGACUGCCGGUGACAAACCGGAGGAAGGUGGGGAUGACGUCAAAUCAUCAUGCCCCUUAUGAUUUGGGCUACACACGUGCUACAAUGGACAAUACAAAGGGCAGCGAAACCGCGAGGUCAAGCAAAUCCCAUAAAGUUGUUCUCAGUUCGGAUUGUAGUCUGCAACUCGACUACAUGAAGCUGGAAUCGCUAGUAAUCGUAGAUCAGCAUGCUACGGUGAAUACGUUCCCGGGUCU